UACGAAGGGGGCUAGUGUUGCUCGGAAUUACUGGGCGUAAAGGGAGCGUAGGCGGAUAGUUUAGUCAGAGGUGAAAGCUCAGGGCUCAACCUUGGAAUUGCCUUUGAUACUGGCUAUCUUGAGUAUGGGAGAGGUGUGUGGAACUCCGAGUGUAGAGGUGAAAUUCGUAGAUAUUCGGAAGAACACCAGUGGCGAAGGCGACACACUGGCCCAUUACUGACGCUGAGGCUCGAAAGCGUGGGGAGCAAACAGG
rnacentral:rRNA from 1 species